GCAAGACGGUGGCCACCUUCGACUCACACUUAUUCUAGCCCUGUUUCUCCUUACGUGCACCUGAACUUGGCGUGCCAACCUUCCAGGUGCCCAUGACCUGACCACACCAGAAUGGUCACAGGGUUAGCAAAAGAUCCUCAAGUCAUGGGAGAAGCUGCUGGAUCCUCUCAGCAUGGCCUCUCCAGCCAUGUGUGCCUCCGG